rnacentral:tRNA from 1 species
UGGAGUAUAGCCAAGUGGUAAGGCACCGGUUUUUGGUACCGAGGUUCGAAUCCUUUUACUCCAG